CCCCCACCUUCCUCCAGGAGCGGGACGGCGGCGACUACAGCUCCCGGCGUGCGGCGCGGCUCCCGGCCUGCCCAGCGCUGCCCGCCCCACGUCACCCCGCGGCUCUGCGGAGGCGGUGCCUGUGCGCUGGGAGCGGUCCCCCCGGGACGAGGUGUGCCGCCGGCGGUCCUGGAACCCACGCCUCCCCCGAGGAGCAGUUUUCCCAGGUGUAGAAACAGUGAAGAGUAGAGAAGCACCAAUUUUCAGCCAUAGCAGAGAGCUGAGAGAACACUACGGCAGCCUAGAUGGACACAGAAAUGCAGAGUGCCCAACGGAGGCGUUGCUACAAGCCUGCAUGAGUGGGGCGUAUGUGCAGGGAAGGUGGAACACAGAUGUGCAAGUGCUCCAGAAGGAACUGGAGGGCUCUCACCUGUGCUUCAGCCCAUGGGACCAUCCUGCCCUAAGGGAAGGCUGACUUCAGUAGGAACAGACUUCCACUGGAGGUGAAAUUUCUGAGCUGCUUACUUAUUUUUUUCUGAUCUCUGUCUUGGUGCAAACUGUACUGAAAUACACAGGGUAUGAGUCAUAGAAAAUGAAUCAGUAACACGUAUUUUAAAAUGUGCACAUAUUCAAGCUGGAUUUCUAUAGAUUUUAUAACCUUUAUGAAAGUUUUCAUAAACGGUGAACGUUGAAAGCAAUUGUGAGAAUUUCAACAUUUAUUUACCCGUGGAGUUUUGUUAAACUUGUUUUAGUGCAAAUGGAACAAUUGCCAUUAACAGCAUAAGCUUUGCAAGGUAUCUUAAUUUGAUAAUAAGAAACUUCAGGCUGGAAGUUCAGAAACACCUUCAGAUGGUGUUAAAAAAUAGAUGCAAGCAUGACUGCUUACUGAUAUAACAAAUGUUAUAACUAUUGUAACCAACUAUCACAUUUACAACUAUAUUAUAACAAACAUUUAUAUACUGAAGGAGUGAAUAAGCUUGAGAGGACAUAUGAUCCAAAUGCAUUUAAGAUAGAACUAACAUUUGUUAAACAGAAGUAAAACAUGCAGCAUCAAAAACCGUCUUCAGAAACAGGUAAUACUCCCUCUGUGGACUGUGCUCAGCGUUUUCUGAACUCCAUUGGCUGCAGCCCUUCGACAGAGCAGAAAUUUUGCGUGCGUUGUUCUAUCAGAUUUCACACUGAAAAAUUACGCUGAUACCUUAGCUGAGUCAGUGAAAGCCACAAGGUGAAGCCAACUCAAGCAUGAGGCUCACAGCUGCAGCUUAACUUAGCUUGGCUUGGAAAAUGUCUUUUAAAAACUAUUAGCCACACCUGGCCUCUGCUCCAUAGGAGCUCAGUUGCCUUGAUCAGCAUGCUGUCUGUAUUGGAAACUAGAUACAUGAAAUAAUACUAUAGCGAUACAAAAAGCACUUGCAAAACCAUCUCUUAAUAAUGUAUCAUUUGUCCCAAACACCGCCCUAUUUUAAGGAUUUGUUUUACACUGUUAGUGUAACAGUGAGAUACUGGCCUUUAGGUCUUGUCUGAGUUCGGUGGGAAUCCACCCAGCGUUUGAAACUUUCCAGUGACGCCGUGUCUGUAGCAGAAAGUGGUGCAGACAAACAAGAGGCCGAGUGUGAUGAAUGAAUAAAACUUAGCUGUAGAAACACCUGACCUGAAAUGCAAAUAAAAAGAAAAUAUAAUUAUUUUUAGAUUCCUGUCAAUGUUUAAGUGAAGAUUAUCUCAGAUUUCAUCAUAGCAGUACAGUCACUUGGUACGGUAAUUUAUGACAAUAUUCAUCUGGUUAAUCAUGAGGUAUUUCUUGUCAUCUGUAUGGUCAUAAUGAUUCAGAAUCCAACAGGCAUGUACCUCAAUGAGUUGCUUCUUCCAGUCAGUGGCAAUGUUCCUUUGAUUAAGGAUCACAAACAAAGCUUUCUUUUAAGUAAAAGCACUGGAGUAGUUAGAAGUUCGUUUGAUUUUAAAACCUCACCAGCUCCAGCUGUCUUUUGUACAGAAACGCUGCAAGAGUUGCAGUGAGAAGCGGGUAUUAUCCAUUGCUUACUUCCAGCCUGCAGGCUGGGAUAUAAGUAUUCCCUCUAAACACUUUUUACAUCGUUAAAUAAGUUUGUAAGCAUGGCCAAAGCCAUUCUCUCAAGUGCCUGGUGUGUUGGAGAAGUGCAGAUGGGAUAAUGUUCAAAUCUGAUUUUCAUUUCCAUCCAUGGAAACACUUUAAUUUCAGCAGGGGGCUGUGGAAAUAGGAUUUCUGCAGGACGGCUCAAAAUGAAUGUAAGCAGUCCCAAGGGAAGCAUCUAGCUCUGUGGGUCUAGCACAAACGCUGCGUUACACCACACGAGGCCUGGCAGGCUGAAAAACACCCUGCUUGCUUUCUAGCAGAGAUUCUGGAGAAGCGAAAUCAUUAAAACUGUGCGGAUAACUUCUGUCUUUAUCUCUGAGUCAUCUGCACAGAGAAAGAACACAGUAUCUUGUCUUCUUGUUUUUGUACUAUCAAGUAUAUUUCACAAAAAAAAAAAAAAAGCCAAACCAAACAAACAAAAAAAGGAAGAGCAGAGGGAGAAUUUAAUAUAUUAAAUAACAAUCUAUUAUAAAUAUCUACUAGCUGUUACCUUUCUGUUACACCAUAUAUACGGACUGCAAAGACUGUUUUUAAAUCACAAAAGCUGCAAUAGAUAAGAAAAGCUGUCAGGCUGUUUUCAUCACUGAAGCACAGUCACAGAAUCCUGUGAAACUGUCCAGUACACAUCAUUCAUUCUUAUAUCUUUAAUGAAAAAAUUAAGUUAUCGAUGAUCAGAUUAGGAUUACUAUUAAAAUUAUUUAAACCCUUCUGGGGUUGUUGAGUGAUGCUCACAAUGAAGUUUAUUGUCAGAUUUUAGUACCUUUGCAGUUACAGUUUUUCUGCAGUACUGUUGACAUUUCUGAGCAUUCAGCCACGUAGAUACGGGUUUUUACAUGUGACGUGCUUUGUAAAAAGCUAAUUCCACAGGAGCUGUCCCAGCAGUAUCAGCAGGGCUUUAAACAUGAUGUAAUACAUCUCAAAGCAACGAUCAGGAUACAGGAGAGCUCUUACAGCUUAGAGUUAGAAAAAGCUUAACAACGGUGUUCCCCUUGCUGCAGGUUUAGUAUAAACAAGGAAUGUGGCAGAAGCUGCAGUGCAUUGGCCAGUCCUCACUGUUUGCAGUCUGACUUUUCUGCUGGUGCUUCGAGCACGCAGGCUUGAAAGAAGGGGAGAAGAAAAGGCAGAACUCUCUCCUGUGCCUUUUGUCAGGUUGGAAAAAAACCGAAAAGAUCCUCGCACAGAAACUCAUUGGUUUCAAGUGUCAAGGUGGCCAGUAGAAGUACCCAACAAGAGUAUGUGAGCAGCAUUUGUUUAUUGACUUCUAUUGGAAUGUGUGGGUCUUUACCCCAAAUAUAUGGGAUGUAGGGUACUACACUGAAUAUUGUAUAAUUCAAUUUCUUUUUUUUUUUUUUAACUUGAGAAUGUUAAUUUAACGUGAAAAGAAGACAAAUUCUCCAGUAGAAGCUAUACUCUCAUAAGCUCUUGUAAAACAUAAGAAGUCUCUAAAGGGGGGCUAGCUAUAAGGAGGAAGGGGACAGACUCUUUAACGGGGUCCAUUGUGACAGAACAAGGAGAAAUAGUUUCAAACUAAAAGAAUGGAGAUUUAGAUGGGAUAGAAAGACAAAGUUUUUUACAGUAAGGGCGGUGAGGUGCUGGCACAGGUUGCCCAGAGAGGUGGAUGCCCCAUCCCUGGAGACACUCAGGGUCAGGCUGGGCCAGACUCUGAGCAACCUGAUCCAGAUGUAGGUGUCCUUGUUCAUUGCAGGGAGGUUGGACUAGAUGGCCACUAAGGGUUCCUUCCAACUCAAAUGAUCCUAUGAUUCUAUGGUAUUUCCAAAGAUUUUCAGAUCAGCUAUGUUUAUUUACAAAUAGUAUCGUUCAUUUUUUGUAACUUCCUCAUUGUUUUUAGAUUAUGUAGCAGGUGUUUAUGUUGUAAAAGGAAAAUGGAAAAGUCGUGGAUUCUGAGAAUGACAUCUGAAUAAUUUCUAAGUUGGAGCUAGGUAGAACUGGAAACAUUGGUAACACCUAAGCCAAAGGAAAUCCUGAGCAAAAAUAUUUCUAAAAUAUCUCUGGUAAGCAUCUUAUCCCCUUUUAUCCCACACCAUUACGCUCUUUUUUUUUCACAUUAAAAGAGACAAUAACCUAAUAUCCUCACUCUGAACACAUAAAUGGCAUCAUGACUAAAAGGCCAAGCGAUGUGGUUUUGAGAGGUGCUGUUUAAAAUCUGAUACUGCUUAUUCAGUCCUUCCUUUGAACUGUUCUCAAGAAGCUGAAAACAGGAUCUGUAAUUAUGAACAGAAACAAAAAAAAGAAGAGUUAUUUCUCAACUAGCUCUGAAAAGCAAUUAGACACAAAGACUGAUUUAGACAUUCUUUGGUUUUUGUUUUUUUAAUUUGCAGGUAGUGGCUAAAAAUGAUAAAUAAAUUCUGUUGUGCAAAUGUGGAAAUAAGCACAAAUUAAAUGUCCAGUGAACAUAAAUUAUCUAAUUCAGUCCAUUCACAGCACUAUUAAGAAACUGCCAGUAACUUACCAAACACAAAUAUCAGUUCUUAAAAUAACUGUAUUUCUCCUAAGGUCAUCAUCUUCAUAGAGAACUUGCUGAUCUUAUCGUGGUCAGUCUGAAUUCAGUUUAUUUUAUCCAGUCUCUACUCUACAAACCUUGUCUACUACUAGACAGAAAAGACGGAAUGUAAAAACCGAGUGAACUUUGAAUUGCCUCAGAAUUUAUCUCUGAUGCUUCAGAAAAUAUUUCCUCAUUCUGAAAUGGUGAUGAAGAUGCUUCAUAAUUAUGACUGAAUUGCAGAUGAGAAAAUCGCAGGCAAACAAGACAAAGCAGUAUCUCAGUGGGUAUUAUAUACUGUAUUCUAUCUUUUCCUAUCCAGCUUGGCUGCUUGAUGGUUAAAAAAAAUGAAAAACAAAACAAUAUGUCAGGGUUUAUACAUUAUGUUCUUUCAAACUCCUAACACUUAUGGGUUCCUGGCACGGGAAUCUGAUCAAUCAAACAGCAAAAAUAAAAUUAUGACUUACUCCAAGUUUAUUCUAAGGUUGUAUUUUCUGUGUAGACGCUGUACAUAUCUACAUUCAUACCAUCAGUGUGCAUACAGAAACUGUUAGAAAAUGGUCCUGUUAAUACAGAUAAGUAACUAUCUAUACUACACUAACAAAUAAGAUAUGAAGGGUUACUUCUGGAGAAGAAUGAAUUUUCCAAAAAAAAAAAAAAAAAGUGAUUGCAAGAAUUUCCUGGG